GGGUCGGUGGUGAUUGUGGUUAACACGGCGCGCUGAAAACGCGCACAAGAUGGUUCGAUUCCAUCCCGGCCCA
rnacentral:tRNA from 1 species